GGCAUGGUGAUCAUUUACUCCAGGCAUUUCUGCACAAUACCUAUGUCCUUUCAUCAAUACAGGGCUUAACAUUGCAGCUGCUGGCUGACGGUUGGAGGAGCUCCCCUGCGAUCUUCUCUUUGAAAAGAGAGAAAGAGGAACUGUCCUACCCCAAAGAAAAGAGGAAACUGAUAGAUCUUUGGAUAAGGCUGUGCCCCAGUGAAGGACACUGAAUGAAGGUUUUGAAUUUUCAUGACCUUGGAUGAGAUACAACAACAGAAAAAGAAAUGCAGCACAUAGAACCUACAAUAUCCAUAAAGAUGCAUCUAGUGAAACAGGACUAUUUGUAUUCCUUUUCCAAAUGAAAAGUGUGUGCGGGGCAGAGAAACAACAAAU